UGGAGUUUCACACUCAUCUUACAGGUGUUA
rnacentral:piRNA from 1 species